CGCGUAGGUGGCAAAGCAAGUAAGAUGUGAAAGCCCUGGGCUUAACCUGGGAAGUGCAUCUUAAACUGCUUAGCUAGAGUAUGGUAGAGGGUAGUGGAAUUUCCGGUGUAGCGGUGAAAUGCGUAGAGGUCGGAAGGAACGCCAGUGGUGAAGACGACUACCUGGACCAAUACUGACACUGAGGCGCGAAAGCGUGGGGAUCAAACAGGAUUAGAUACCCUGGUAGUCCACGCUGUAAACGAUGAGGACUGGAUGUCAGGCAGCUUGGCUGCUUGGUAUCGAAGCUAACGCGAUAAGUUCUCCGCCUGGGAAGUACGGUCGCAAGAUUAAA
rnacentral:rRNA from 1 species